CGGCGAUGACUGCCCUCGAGUGCUUAACUCGUCUUACCUAUUUUCAGAGCCCCCACAAGUGGGGCGCUGCUGAACAAUGAG
rnacentral:snoRNA from 1 species